CCUAACCAAACACAAUGUUAUUGUACCUACCGGUCCAGGCUCAACUCCACGCAACAAACCAAACAUACCCGAGUGCAGUAGCCGACAAGGAAAACUAGUUCUUGGUUUGCCAAGCUCUUGCUUUCCUUGUUGACAUGGCACCAACAUGAUAUCGUAGGCGUGACGAGGAGGCCGUCGAGCACAAGUUCAAAUCAUGAGCAAAACAACAAUUUGGUUGCUGCAAAGGGCACAGGAACAAUGAGCCCCAGGAGUUCCCCAUGCUUCCUAAGCCUACCACUGCAUGCUCAUGCAUGCAUAUCAUGUAUUUGUAACUGAUACACAACAUGUAUCUAUG
rnacentral:lncRNA from 1 species